rnacentral:rRNA from 1 species
UACGUAGGGUGCAAGCGUUAAUCGGAAUUAUUGGGCGUAAAGCGCGCGCAGGCGGUCCUUUAAGUCUGAUGUGAAAGCCCACGGCCCAACCGUGGAGGGUCAUUGGAAACUGGAGGACUUGAGUACAGAAGAGGAAAGCGGAAUUCCACGUGUAGCGGUGAAAUGCGUAGAGAUCGGGAGGAACAUCAGUGGCGAAGGCGGCCAUCUGGGGCAACACUGACGCUGAAGCACGAAAGCGUGGGGAGCAAACAGG